CCUACGGGAGGCAGCAGUGAGGAAUAUUGGUCAAUGGACGAGAGUCUGAACCAGCCAAGUAGCGUGAAGGAUGACUGCCCUACGGGUUGUAAACUUCUUUUAUAUGGGAAUAAAAUGUUCCACGUGUGGGAUUUUGUAUGUACCAUAUGAAUAAGGAUCGGCUAACUCCGUGCCAGCAGCCGCGGUAAUACGGAGGAUCCGAGCGUUAUCCGGAUUUAUUGGGUUUAAAGGGAGCGUAGGUGGAUUGUUAAGUCAGUUGUGAAAGUUUGCGGCUCAACCGUAAAAUUGCAGUUGAAACUGGCAGUCUUGAGUACAGUAGAGGUGGGCGGAAUUCGUGGUGUAGCGGUGAAAUGCUUAGAUAUCACGAAGAACUCCGAUUGCGAAGGCAGUUCACUAGACUGCAACUGACACUGAGGCUCGAAAGUGUGGGUAUCAAACAGGAUUAGAUACCCGGGUAGUC
rnacentral:rRNA from 1 species